rnacentral:rRNA from 1 species
GACGAACGCUGGCGGCGUGCCUAAUACAUGCAAGUCGAACGCAGUGGGGACGGGUGAGUAACACGUGGGUAACCUCCCAUCAGAGGGGAUAACACUUGGAAACAGGUGCUAAACCGAUACUGAUGGAUGGACCCGCGGUGCAUGAGCUAGUUGGUGAGGUAACGGCUCACCAAGACCACGAUGAAUAGCCGACCUGGGAGGGUGAUAGGCCACACUGGGACUGGUACACGGCCCAUACUCCUACGGAAGGCAGCAGUAGGAAGUCUUCUGCAAUGGACGAAAGUCUGACCGGGCAACGCCGCGUGAGUGAAGAAGGUUUUCGGAUCGUAAAACUCUGUUGUUAGGGAAACGGUAUCUAACCAGAAAGCCACGGCUAACUACGUGCCAGCCGCCGCGGUAAUAC